GCCAACAGUAGCCCUUCCCCAAACUCCAAUGACAGUGGGAACCGGCAGCCCAGCUGCCACACGCAGUCCAGGAAGAGGAGAAAGGCCUCCACCAGGCGCAUGAAGCUCUCCUGCAGGGGACGCCCUCUGGGCGGUGGGAGUCUGGUCAUCUUUUCCAGCUCAAGCCCUUGCCAAGUACAGCCAGGGAGCAAGUGCUCAAGACCAAUGAGGGAGACACAGAAUCCUGUAAAGAGCCCAUCUGAUAAAAGGGACACAGAGCCCUUUAGGGAGUCCAGUCUCACGGCACACACGACCCACAGAGGAGUUCCUAAUCUUUGAGACAGCGUCUCGUUCUGUCCAUGAAAUGGUUUUUUUUUUUU
rnacentral:lncRNA from 10 species